rnacentral:tRNA from 1 species
UGGGCGAGGAGGGAGUCGAACCCCCGACGCAAUGGUUCGUAGCCAAACGCUCUAAUCCACUGAGCUACCCGCCC